AACGAACGCUGGCGGCAUGCCUAACACAUGCAAGUCGAACGAGACCUUCGGGUCUAGUGGCGCACGGGUGCGUAACGCGUGGGAACCUGCCCUUAGGUUCGGAAUAACUCCCCGAAAGGGGUGCUAAUACCGGAUAAUGUCUUCGGACCAAAGAUCUAUCGCCUUUGGAUGGGCCCGCGUUGGAUUAGCUAGUUGGUAGGGUAAAAGCCUACCAAGGCGACGAUCCAUAGCUGGUCUGAGAGGAUGAUCAGCCACACUGGGACUGAGACACGGCCCAGACUCCUACGGGAGGCAGCGGUGGGGAAUAUUGGACAAUGGGCGAAAGCCUGAUCCAGCAAUGCCGCGUGAGUGAUGAAGGCCUUAGGGUUGUAAAGCUCUUUUAACCGGGAUGAUAAUGACAGUACCGGGAGAAUAAGCUCCGGCUAACUCCGUG
rnacentral:rRNA from 1 species